rnacentral:tRNA from 1 species
GGGAAGAUAGCUCAGUGGUAGAGUGCUUGCCUUGCAUGCAUGAGGCCCUGGGUUCGAUUCCUCAGCAUCACA